rnacentral:rRNA from 1 species
AGCGAACGCUGGCGGCAGGCCUAACACAUGCAAGUCGAACGAACCUUUCGGGGUUAGUGGCGGACGGGUGAGUAACACGUGGGAACGUGCCUUUAGGUUCGGAAUAACUCAGGGAAACUUGUGCUAAUACCGAAUGUGCCCUUCGGGGGAAAGAUUAAUCGCCUUUAGAGCGGCCCGCGUCUGAUUAGCUAGUUGGUUGAGGUAAUGGCUCACCAAGGCGACGAUCAGUAGCUGGUCUGAGAGGAUGAUCAGCCACCUUGGGACUGAGACACGGCCCAAACUCCUACGGGAGGCAGCAGUGGGGAAUCUUGCGAAAUGGGCGAAAGCCUGACGGAGCCAGGCCGCGUGAAUGAUGAAGGUCUUAGGAUUGUAAAAUUCUUUCAACGGUGACGAUAAUGACGGUACCCGGAGAAGAAGCCCCGGCUAACUUCGUG